AGAAUCAACGCUGGCGGCGUGCCUAACACAUGCAAGUCGAACGCGAAAGGGGAGCAAUCCCUAAGUAGAGUGGCAAACGGGUGAGUAACACGCGGGUGACCUGCCUUCGAGUGGGGGAUAACGUCCCGAAAGGGACGCUAAUACCGCAUAACAUCCUGUCCUUAGACGGACGGAGAUCAAAGCUAGGGAUCGCAAGACCUGGCGCUUAAAGAGGGGCCCGCGCCUGAUUAGCUAGUUGGUGAGGUAACGGCUCACCAAGGCAACGAUCAGUA
rnacentral:rRNA from 1 species